rnacentral:rRNA from 1 species
AUUGAACGCUGGCGGCAGGCCUAACACAUGCCAGUCGAGCGAGCGGCGGACGGGUGAGUAAUGCCUGGGAAUUGCCCAGUCGAGGGGGAAAACAGUUGGAAACGACUGCUAAUACCGCAUACGAUUGGCUUGCCCAGGUGGGAUUAGCUAGUGGGUGAGGUAAUGGCUCACCAAGGCGAUGCUCCCUAGCUGGUCUGAGAGGAUGAUCGGCUACAGGGUGAAUGAGACAAGGCAAAGACUCCUACGGGAGGCAGCAGUGGGGAAUAUUGCACAAUGGGGGAAACCCUGAUGCAGCAAUGCCGCGUGUGUGAAGAAGGCCUUCGGGUUGGAAAGCACUUUCAGCGAAGAGGCGGUACUCGCAGAAAAAGCACCGGCUAAAUACGGGCCAGCAGCCGCGGGAAUUC